CAGAUUCCGUGGCGCUGUACAAUGAAUGUUUAUUAUCUACCUUACCGUAACUUCCCACAUCGCUCUCUGUUAGUACAGAACUAAAUGACUGUAUUAACGUGAUAUUGUGAAUGUAACGGGGAUAAACGCCCAGGGGUUAAGGUGCGGCUGCAUACAUUAAUGAUAACAGGUGAAUCCAGCCGCUGUUUAACACACAUUGUGCAAGAUUUAUAGCAAUGUCCCGGAAUAAAAGGACAAUUCAUGUGCGUGUGUGCGUAUUUAUAUUCAUUACUUUAAUACUUUACACUGAGGUAGUUGUGAGUACAUGGACUAAGCCACCCAGCAGAGGUGGUAGUGGCUGAUUAAGGGGGCAAGCUCAGGAAACGGCCGGGUCAAUUAUAAAGCUGCUGCUUGUCACGAGACAGGACUAAAUUCACGACUGCACUUAAAUUCAUCAGCUUUAAUGGAAAGGUG